rnacentral:rRNA from 1 species
GGCUAGCGUUGCUCGGAAUCACUGGGCGUAAAGCGCACGUAGGCGGCUUGCUAAGUCAGGGGUGAAAUCCUGGAGCUCAACUCCAGAACUGCCUUUGAUACUGGCGAUCUUGAGUCCGGGAGAGGUGAGUGGAACUGCGAGUGUAGAGGUGAAAUUCGUAGAUAUUCGCAAGAACACCAGUGGCGAAGGCGGCUCACUGGCCCGGUACUGACGCUGAGGUGCGGAAGCGUGGGGAGCAAACAGG